GUUGCGCCCGCCGGGACAGUGUACCUCGCUCGCCGACUCUGGAGAAGGGCGGAGCUGUAGGAAGGUGUGCCAACAGCCAUCAGCUUAGUAUGUGUGAAAUACAUGGAAGAAUAAGAAAAUGCUUACGCCCGGAAGUUUAAAAUUAUCUUCAUGUGUUAUGAUUAAAUAUGUCUGUAUAUAUGUACAUUUUUCAUCUCAGGGAACACAACGUACUAACAUUCGAGUAGCAGUAUUUGUCCAAUUCAGUUAAACUUCAUUUUAUUUAGGUCCCAAAAACUUACACCCAAAUCACUUCUGUGGAGACUUAGCAACAGCAUCAUGAACUGACAUCACAUCUGAUGUCAUUAGGCAAUACUAAAGCCUAAGUGGUAAGAAAAGCCAGGAGACAGCAGAGUCCUGACAUUAAAUAUUCUGUUUCAGACCAAAAGCACCUGGUGGCAUUAGAGGACUCUGAGGCCAGUGCAGACCUGGACCUCACCUUGGAUGAGUAUCAGAUCCAGUCUGCCGAAUGUUCGUCAACAACGGGGAGCACGACCUUCCACUGUCAUUAUGAACGGAGCUUUGACAUGCUGGUUAUUAAUGCUAGAACAUUGUACCAGCAUUUGUGGCAAUGAAGUUGAUUUCUGGGUGAAGAAUACCAGAGAAACAACUGAGCUGAGUCCAGAUGGCUUGUCCCUGUACACCGUGACACUGCAGUCAGUCACAGGCUUUCAAGCUCAGAAGGUCCUGAUGUACUCGUCCUUCUGCAUUCUGGACGCUAACCAGCUCACCAGAUACAGCGACCAUUUGCAGCAAACAGUCUGGCUGGGGAAAUAUUUCAGCAUGAUCCUGCGGCUGGAUGGAUUGCUGUUGACGUAUGAAUGGAAAGACAGCGAGGAUCAAAACCAGCCAACGGAGCCUCACCAGUCUGACCAGGAGUGAGUCCCUGAUGACUGAGUCCUGUUGCAGGCUGCUGAUGAGGAAGUGCCACCUGUGGCCAGGGAGAUGCCCUACUUAUACACAUAUUUCACCAUGAGGGGUUGAAGAUUAUCCAUUCAAACUAGCAGCCCUUCGCCAGGCUUUCUCAACCCUCAUGAGCCGAGGAUUUUACCAGAAAGAUCUGAUCCCAGCUGGUAAAAUGAUUCUUGGUGGACUGGCCCAGAUCAACAACAAGGACAUCCAGGACUUUGAAAGGGCAUUUGACCAGUUCCUGGCCUUCCCUGGCGACCCGGGGAAAAGAGACAUCAUGCAGAGGGAACUGGCCGAGGCAGGGAUCUGCCACUUUGGAUUUGUGGAUGUUGCUUUGCAGUUCAUUGUGUUUAGGUUAAUGGGGGAUUGCAAUGUCCUGAAAAUGGAGUCCGGUGGAUUUGUGGACUAUUUUUCCAGAGUUCUGGAGUCUUUCAGCCCACUCACUGGUUGGGAGGGGCAACCCGUGGACUACUAGGAGAUAGCCAUGGACCAGAUGUUAGCUUUCUUAGAUGAAGUCUUCUUGAAGGACAAGAGCAUCUUCCAGGACCCACAACACCUAGAGGAGGAAGUGUGGAACACCACUGAAGACCAUGAGGACCCCAUGUAAUAUAUUUGGAUAGUCUGCAUUAUUUGGUGGUUCUGUAUUCUAUGUAGAUUUUUCUUCAUAUAUCU